rnacentral:rRNA from 1 species
UACAGAGGAGCCAAGCGUUGUCCGGAUUGACUGGGCGUAAAGCGCACGCAGGCGGAUGCGCGCGUGGGGUGUGAAAUCUGGCCGCUUAACGGCCAGGCGCCAUCCCAUACGGCGUGGCUGGAGGGCUGCAGAGGUCGAUGGAAUUGCCGGUGUAGUGGUGAAAUGCGUAGAGAUCGGCAGGAACACCCAGGGGGAAACCAGUCGACUGGGCAGCACCUGACGCUGAGGUGCGAGAGCGUGGGGAGCGAACCGG